rnacentral:rRNA from 1 species
UACGUAGGUCCCGAGCGUUGUCCGGAUUUAUUGGGCGUAAAGCGAGCGCAGGUGGUUUAUUAAGUCUGGUGUAAAAGGCAGUGGCUCAACCAUUGUAUGCAUUGGAAACUGGUAGACUUGAGUGCAGGAGUGGAGAGUGGAAUUCCAUGUGUAGCGGUGAAAUGCGUAGAUAUAUGGAGGAACACCGGUGGCGAAAGCGGCUCCCUGGCCUGUAACUGACACUGAGGCUCGAAAGCGUGGGGAGCAAACAGG